GGCUCAGGGGUGGAGUACAACCUUGCCAAGGUUGGGGUCGCGGGUUCGAAUCCCGUC
rnacentral:tRNA from 1 species